rnacentral:lncRNA from 1 species
AAAUCAUGGAUUCAGUUUGAUAACAGUUUACUUACUUCUCAACGUGUUCAGGUAAGAAUAAUAGGAUAUGAACUGUUGGCAUGGGAUACAACACGGUGAGAUUGAUUACUACGUGUGUGAGCUAGUCUACAUAAAUAAUCAAUCAAGGGGCUCGUUUCCGAAGAACAACAUCUAUGUACCUCCUAACUACAGCUACGUGUGUAACCUAGUCUGCAGGAAGCACCAACCAACCAGGCCAAUGGCAAUGAGGAAACAGACCACACAGAGAAAGAGAGGAAUGCAGGGCAGUAGUAAUUUGCACGGCAUUUUUCCAAGCAAG